AGGAAAUGAGGAUACAAGGUAAAGCAGAACCGGAUAACUACGUGGCAGCAGCUGCGGUAUUAAGUAGGGUGCAAGCAUUAAACUGAGAUACUGGGCGUAAA
rnacentral:rRNA from 1 species